rnacentral:rRNA from 1 species
CACGUAGGGCGCAAGCGUUGUCCGGAAUUAUUGGGCGUAAAGAGCUCGUAGGCGGUCUGUUGCGUCCGCUGUGAAAACCCGGGGCUUAACCCCUGGCUUGCAGUGGAUACGGACAGACUAGAGGUAGGUAGGGGAGAAUGGAAUUCCCGGUGUAGCGGUGAAAUGCGCAGAUAUCGUAAGGAAGACCAGUGGCGAAGGCGGGUCUCUGGACAGUUCCUGACGCUGAGGCACGAAGGCCAGGGGAGCAAACGGG